rnacentral:lncRNA from 1 species
AUGCCCUAUUUUUAGCUAUUUACUUAUUGAAUAGAAUUUCUUUUAAAGUCCGUUCCUACCACACCAUAUGAGAUAUGACAUGGUAAGAAGCCGAGUCUUGGUCAUCUCAAGAUUUGGGGAUGUCCGGCCCACGUCAAGCGACAACAGGCGGACAAGUUAAAGGAUAGGACAAUUAAUGCUCGUUUUAUUGAAUAUCCUGAAAGAG